rnacentral:rRNA from 1 species
UACGUAGGUGGCAAGCGUUGUCCGGAAUUACUGGGUGUAAAGGGAGUGUAGGCGGGACUGCAAGUCCAGUGUUAAAUCUAUCGGCUUAACCGGUAGCCGCGCUGGAAACUGUGGUUCUUGAGUGAAGUAGAGGCAGGCGGAAUUCCUAGUGUAGCGGUGAAAUGCGUAGAUAUUAGGAGGAACACCAGUGGCGAAGGCGGCCUGCUGGGCUUUUACUGACGCUGAGGCUCGAAAGCGUGGGGAGCAAACAGGAUUAGAUACCC